rnacentral:rRNA from 1 species
GAUGAACGCUGACGGCGUGCCUAAUACAUGCAAGUCGAGCGAACGGACGAGAAGCUUGCUUCUCUGAUGUUAGCGGCGGACGGGUGAGUAACACGUGGAUAACCUACCUAUAAGACUGGGAUAACUUCGGGAAACCGGAGCUAAUACCGGAUAAUAUUUUGAACCGCAUGGUUCAAAAGUGAAAGACGGUCUUGCUGUCACUUAUAGAUGGAUCCGCGCUGCAUUAGCUAGUUGGUAAGGUAACGGCUUACCAAGGCAACGAUGCAUAGCCGACCUGAGAGGGUGAUCGGCCACACUGGAACUGAGACACGGUCCAGACUCCUACGGGAGGCAGCAGUAGGGAAUCUUCCGCAAUGGGCGAAAGCCUGACGGAGCAACGCCGCGUGAGUGAUGAAGGUCUUCGGACCGUAAAACUCUGUUAUUAGGGAAGAACAUAUGUGUAAGUAACUGUGCACAUCUUGACGGUACCUAAUCAGAAAGCCACGGCUAACUACGUG